UGGGGAAUUUUGGACAAUGGGGGCAACCCUGAUCCAGCAAUGCCGCGUGUGUGAAGAAGGCCUUCGGGUUGUAAAGCACUUUUGUCCGGGAAGAAAUCCCCUGCCCUAAUACGGCGGGGGGAUGACGGUACCGGAAGAAUAAGCACCGGCUAACUACGUGCCAGCAGCCGCGGUAAUACGUAGGGUGCGAGCGUUAAUCGGAAUUACUGGGCGUAAAGCGUGCGCAGGCGGUGAUGUAAGACCGAUGUGAAAUCCCCGGGCUCAACCUGGGAACUGCAUUGGUGACUGCAUUGCUCGAGUAUGGCAGAGGGGGGUGGAAUUCCACGUGUAGCAGUGAAAUGCGUAGAGAUGUGGAGGAACACCGAUGGCGAAGGCAGCCCCCUGGGCCAAUACUGACGCUCAUGCACGAAAGCGUGGGGAGCAAACAGGAUUAGAUACCCUGGUAGUCCACGCCCUAAACGAUGUCAACUAGUUGUUGGGGAUUCAUUUCCUUAGUAACGUAGCUAACGCGUGAAGUUGACCGCCU
rnacentral:rRNA from 1 species